rnacentral:rRNA from 1 species
CCGCGUGAGUGAAGAAGGCCCUUGGGUCGUAAGCUCUUAGCGAGGGAAGAGGGUAGGUAUGGUGAAUAAUCAUGCUUGCUGACGGUACCUCGAGAAUAAGCACCGGCUAUUUCGUGCCAGCAGCCGCGGUAAUACGAAAGGUGCAAGCGUUACUCGGAAUCACUGGGCGUAAAGCGCACGUAGGCGGACUCGUAGGUCAGUUGUGAAAUACCUGGGCUCAACCCAGGAACUGCAGCUGAAACCGCUUGUCUUGAAUACCUGAGAGGGUGGGGGAAUACCUGGUGGAGAAGUGAAAUUCGUAGAGAUCAGGAGGAACACCGGAGGCGAAGGCGCCUGCCUGGCAGUGUAUUGACGCUGAGGUGCGAAAGUGCGGGGAGCAAACAGGAUUAGAUACCCUGGUAGUCCGCACCGUAAACGAUGGAUACUAGGCGUUCGGAGAGUUAACCCUCUGAGUGCCAAAGUUCACACAUUAAGUAUCCCGCCUGGGAAGUACGGUCGCAAGACUA